ACCCUUCGGGCCUCUGCCAUCAGAUGUGCCCAGAUGGGAUUAGCUAGUAGGUGGGGUAACGGCUCACCUAGGCGACGAUCCCUAGCUGGUCUGAGAGGAUGACCAGCCACACUGGAACUGAGACACGGUCCAGACUCCUACGGGAGGCAGCAGUGGGGAAUAUUGCACAAUGGGCGCAAGCAUGAUGCAGCCAUGCCGCGUGUAUGAAGAAGGCCUUCGGGUUGUAAAGUACUUUCAGCGGGGAGGGAGGCGUUGAGGUUAAUAACCUCAGCGAUUGACGUUACCCGCAGAAGAAGCACCGGCUAACUCCGUGCCAGCAGCCGCGGUAAUACGGAGGGUGCAAGCGUUAAUCGGAAUUACUGGGCGUAAAGCGCACGCAGGCGGUCUGUCAAGUCGGAUGUGAAAUCCCCGGGCUCAACCUGGGAACUGCAUUCGAAACUGGCAGGCUAGAGUCUUGUAGAGGGGGGUAGAAUUCCAGGUGUAGCGGUGAAAUGCGUAGAGAUCUGNGAGGAAUACCGGNUGGCGAAGGCGGCCCCCUGGACAAAGACUGACGCUCAGGUGCGAAAGCGUGGGGAGCAAACAGGAUUAGAUACCCUGGUAGUCCACGCCGUAAACGAUGUCGACUUGGAGGUUGUGCCCUUGAGGCGUGGCUUCCGGAGCUAACGCGUUAAGUCGACCGCCUGGGNNGAGNUACGGCCGCAAGGUUANAAACUCAAAUGAAUUGACGGGGGCCCGCACAAGCGGUGGAGCAUGUGGUUUAAUUCGAUGCAACGCGAAGAACCUUACCUACUCUUGACAUCCAGAGAACUUUCCAGAGAUGGAUUGGUGCCUUCGGGAACUCUGAGACAGGUGCUGCAUGGCUGUCGUCAGCUCGUGUUGUGAAAUGUUGGGUUAAGUCCCGCAACGAGCGCAACCCUUAUCCUUUGUUGCCAGCGGUUAGGCCGGGAACUCAAAGGAGACUGCCAGUGACAAACUGGAGGAAGGUGGGGAUGACGUCAAGUCAUCUUGGUCCUUACCCCCCCGGCUACACACGUGCUACAAUGGCGCGUACAAAGAGAAGCGACCUCGC
rnacentral:rRNA from 1 species